ACUCCUUUGGGCCUCAUCGCUAACCACAGUUCCAUCGACGGCCUGGCGGUUGAGAACAUCACCUUCACCUUCAGCUCCACUCUCAUGACCGGAGGAUGCAGGGUGUCCGGCCAGUCCACCUCUCUGGGAUUCACCAGCCUUCUGGACAACGGCCUCAACUAUUGCAACCUGUACGAUCUGCUCUCAGCUAGCGGACUGGCCAGCGGACCUGGAUUCAUGGAGAUGACCAACGAGUGGGCUUGCCUGGGUUACGGACUUGCCACAUGCAAAGCUUGAAAGAAAAGAAAAAAAGAAAAAGAAAGCAACAAAAAACUUAUACUGUCUUUUAAGCAUUCAAAUGGUCUCCUGUGCAUCUUAUAGUUGACGUUUGCCGAUUCUUGAUCGAAACGCUCUGUCGCGAUCUUGUGUCAGAAAGAGUUUUCCAUCAUAAAUAUGUUUGUGCAUUUAAGGUGUCUGGACUGCUCCUUGAGCACUUCAACUACUUUCUGCUGCAUGUUUAAAAAGUGUUUGCAUUUAAUCGAAAUGAUGAAUUAUCAGUAAAAACCAAAAUCCUGAUGAACAAAUAUGCUAUUUUGUCGGUGUUUGUGUGCCAGAGGGACAAGAAUCCGACUUGAUA